rnacentral:rRNA from 1 species
UACGUAGGGGGCUAGCGUUGUCCGGAAUCAUUGGGCGUAAAGAGCGUGUAGGCGGUCCGGUGCGUCCGCUGUGAAAGUCGGGGGCUCAACCCUCGAAUGCCGGUGGAUACUGUCGGGCUAGAGUGCGGAAGAGGCGAGUGGAAUUCCUGGUGUAGCGGUGAAAUGCGCAGAUAUCAGGAGGAACACCGAUUGCGAAGGCAGGUCGCUGGGACGUAACUGACGCUGAGACGCGAAAGCGUGGGGAGCAAACAGG